rnacentral:ribozyme from 1 species
AGAGUUCACAGCCAUAGCAGAAGCAUGCAUGGGGCAGCCCUGUCAGAUUCCGGUGAAUCUGCAAAUUCUGCU